UUCGCCUCCCUCAUGAGGAGGGAUCUCAGGCUCUCCUAAAGCCGGUGUCGCAGGUUCGAAUCCUGCCGGGGGCA
rnacentral:tRNA from 1 species